rnacentral:rRNA from 1 species
CCUACGGGGUGCUGCAGUGAGGAAUAUUGGUCAAUGGACGAGAGUCUGAACCAGCCAAGUAGCGUGAAGGAUGACUGCCCUAUGGGUUGUAAACUUCUUUUAUAUGGGAAUAAAAUGUUCCACGUGUGGGAUUUUGUAUGUACCAUAUGAAUAAGGAUCGGCUAACUCCGUGCCAGCAGCCGCGGUAAUACGGAGGGUCCGAGCGUUAUCCGGAUUUAUUGGGGUUAAAGGGAGCGUAGGUGGAUUGUUAAGUCAGUUGUGAAAGUUUGCGGCUCAACCGUAAAAUUGCAGUUGAAACUGGCAGUCUUGAGUACAGUAGAGGUGUGCGGAAUUCGUGGUGUAGCGGUGAAAUGCUUAGAUAUCACGAAGAACUCCGAUUGCGAAGGCAGUUCACUGGACUGCAACUGACACUGAGGCUCGAAAGUGUGGGUAUCAAACAGGAUUAGAUACCCGGGUAGUC